GACGAAGGAUGCAAGCGUUAUCCGGAUUCAUUGGGUUUAAAGGGAGCGUAGGCGGCCCUAUAAGUCAGUGGUGAAAUCUCUCGGCUUAACCGAGAAAUUGCCAUUGAUACUGUAGGGCUUGAGUACAGUUGCCGUUGGCGGAAUAUGACAUGUAGUGGUGAAAUACAUAGAGAUGUCAUAGAACACCGAUUGCGAAGGCAGCCAACGAAGCUGUAACUGACGCUGAGGCUCGAAAGUGCGGGGAUCAAACAGG
rnacentral:rRNA from 1 species